rnacentral:tRNA from 1 species
GGCUCAUUGUGGUAAUGGCUAACCUACCCGACUGUCUCUCGGGUGCUACGGGUUGGAUUCCCGUAUGAGCCG